CCUACGGGGCGCAGCAGGCGCGAAAACUUCGCAAUGUGCGCAAGCACGACGAGGUUACUCUGAGUGUCACCCGUUGAGGGUGACUUUUACUAGGCGUAAAUAAUCUAGGGAAUAAGGGGAGGGCAAGUCUGGUGUCAGCCGCCGCGGUAA
rnacentral:rRNA from 1 species